rnacentral:rRNA from 1 species
CCUACGGGGGGCAGCAGCUAAGAAUAUUCCGCAAUGGACGAAAGUCUGACGGAGCGACGCCGCGUGGAUGAAGAAGGCCGAAAGGUUGUAAAAUCCUUUUGUUGGGGAAGAAUAAGCGUGGGAGGGAAUGCCCGCGUGAUGACAUGAACCGACGAAUAAGUCCCGGCUAACUACGUGCCAGCAGCCGCGGUCACACGUAGGGGACAAACGUGAUUCGGAAUUACUGGGCGUAAAGUGGUAGUAGGCGACUGAAAGGCACCGGCUCAACCGGUGGAUUGCGUCAGGAACUGCAGAGCUUGAGUCAUGGAGAGGAAGGCAGAAUUCCUGGUGUAGGGGUGAAAUCUGUAGAGAUCAGGAAGAAUACCAGUGGCGAAGGCGGCCUUCUGGCCAAUGACUGACGCUGAGGUGCGAAAGUGUGGGGAUCAAACAGGAUUAGAUACCCCUGUAGUC